CCUACGGGAGGCAGCAGUGGGGAAUAUUGGACAAUGGGGGCAACCCUGAUCCAGCCAUGCCGCGUGUGUGAAGAAGGCUUUCGGGUUGUAAAGCACUUUCAGUGAGGAGGAAAACUCUGCGACUAAUACUCGUAGGGCUUGACGUUACUCACAGAAGAAGCACCGGCUAACUCCGUGCCAGCAGCCGCGGUAAUACGGAGGGUGCAAGCGUUAAUCGGAAUUACUGGGCGUAAAGCGCGCGUAGGUGGUUUGAUAAGCGAGAUGUGAAAGCCCCGGGCUUAACCUGGGAACGGCAUUUCGAACUGUCAGGCUAGAGUAUGGUAGAGGGUAGUGGAAUUUCCUGUGUAGCGGUGAAAUGCGUAGAUAUAGGAAGGAACACCAGUGGCGAAGGCGGCUACCUGGACCAAUACUGACACUGAGGUGCGAAAGCGUGGGGAGCA
rnacentral:rRNA from 1 species